UUGUCUCUGCGGGGUGGGGUGGGGCGGGCGGGCGAGGCGGGUCAGCGCGUCCCCGACGCCCCCCGGGGCUCCCGGCCCGCGCCCCCGCCGCCGCCGCCGGUCUGCGCGUCACCGUCUCUGUCGCGGCCGCUCGCCGGGGCUCCGUCCCGAGCGUGCGCCCGGGACCCACUUGCGCGCCCGGCACAGCCGCACUCGAGCCGCCGGCGCCUCCGCCGCGGGCUUUUAUUCGGCGCCGGCGGAAGGUUCCGCUAGGAGGCGUGACGCCACAAAGGCCCAGAACCUUCGCGGAGGUUCCGGCGGCUCCCGGGCUCGGUUCUCCCGGGCCAGCCGGGCGCGCGCGCGCGCUCGCUCACCCGCUCUCCUCGGACGUCUGCUCCUCUGGCUGGCCAUCCGACUCCCCGGAGCUCCAGUUCUGACUGCCGCCGCGGGCCAUGCUGGAAACCUCAUAAGUGCCCCAAGGGUGAGGAGUGACGUCUCCCAGCUGUGAGCAGUGAUGACGUCGGUCACAUGUGAGCAGUGACGUCUCCCAAGUCUCUCAAGGAUGGAUAGUGAUCCUUCUUUUCUCAGAAGUGGGUACCCCACCCCCAACAUGUCAGUGCACAAAACAGCCGAGGCAGAACCAUCCUUAGUGGGUCCAGUAUUGCAGAUCUCACGGGUGCCGAAGCAGACAAGGCCAGCUGGUCCAAUCUUCAACUUCUCUAGGCUGCUCUCAACGGGUGUCAUCAUGACUGUGGGUGUGGAACGGCCAUUGCAGCGCUAUCAGAAUAUUGCAGGCCCCUCUGGCCUAGGCUACCUAGGCUUCUGUUGGUGCAGCCCUUUACCUGGAAGAAGAAGCCGCCCUGCCCAGGUCCGUGGGAUCCUCUGACCUGGGUUUUGAUCCGGUGGCUGAAGCUCCUCUUUCAUGCGUGCCAUAGGGAUACAAACGACUCAAUACCCGUGAGAAAUCAAGCCAGGCCUCUAGCGUCUGUUCCCAGGAACAUGGAUUUUCUCCCUCUGGAUCUUACCCCUGUAGAACAAUCACCUUUGGGCAGAUCCAGAACUGGUCAGGAAUUUGGGAUCUCAUUCCCAUAUCUCCACCUUCAUGAACCUCUGCCUCUGGGCUUAUUUCUCCACUACCGGGACAGGUCAUUGUCAAGUACCCAUAUUUCUCACAGGACAUCUAUAAGGACCAAACAGCAUGAUGGCUAUAGAGCCAGCAAGAACCUGGCUUGCUCAAAGGGAUCACUUGGAACUUUUUAUUCUUUUCCUGGUUUUGGUAUACUGUUGGCUUUUGAGACAAGGUCUUGCAACAUAGCCUAGACCACCCUUAAACUCAGGAUCCCCCAACCUCAGGCUCCCAAAUGCUGGGAUUAUAGACAUGAGGCAUUACAUUGGCUGAUCUGAAAACUUCUAAAACUCCAGCCUGCAUCCCAAACAUUGCAGAGCUCCCAGGUGGAGGGCAGGUAGCCCUCAGGUGGGCCCAGUGUUGGAGCUAGAGCUGAGAACACAGACAGCCUCACAUUCUGGGUGGUGACAACAAGCGGUGACCAUGAGAGCUGGGUGUGCCCUCUCAUGGAGAGGGCUGAGCUUGACAAACAGGUUUGAGUGGCUGGCCCAGAGAAAGAGUGUGGGGAGGGAGAGAGGGUCAAGGAGAGGCAGUGGGGAGCACUUGCCUGGAGGAGAUGGAAAGCAGAACAGCCAUUAGUGAGGCAGAGAUAAUCCCUGACCCCCCACCCCUAAAAUGGAAAGGAGCUGAAGCCACAGAGGAUCAGAACAGUGAGAAGGGGAGAGAGGACCGCUCGGGACCUCCAGAGCCUAGGAUGGCAGGGCUGGUACUUGGCAGGGGAAGAAAUGGGGCUUUCCAAUGAAGGGAUACUUACUGGCCUACAGAACAGUUGCCAUCCAAAUUCUUGUUUCACUAUCACAUGGAACUUCUGCUUGGAGAAGCUCGGCCUCUCACUGGCUGUGUGACUCUGGGCAAGUAAUUAAAUCUCUCUCUGCGCCACUCCAUUCUCUACAAAAUGAGAGGAGCGCCUAGUCCAGCCAGGCCUGGUGGCAGAAUCCCAGCUACUCCGGGGGCUGAGAAUCCUGCCUUCUGCUCUACAGAGUAUAUCCAAGGCCAACCUGGACAACUUAGUCCCUCCAUAUCUCCAAAAGUAAGAGGAGGGCUUGGGUCGUAGCAUCCUUCUGUGCGAGCAUGAGGACCCGAGUUUGACCCCCAGCGCUCACAUAAAAGCUGGGCAUAGCAACAACCCCAGCCAGUAAUCCUAGCACUAGGGAGGCAGAGAGAGGAGGAUCCCUGGGGCGUGCUGGCCAGACAGUCUAAUCAGGGAGCCUCCGGGUUCAAAAGAGACCUUGUCUCAAAAAAUCAGAUGGAGAGUGAUUGAGGAAGACAUUUUAUGUCAACCUCUGGCACACAAGUGUACCGCCACCACCAAACAUAAAAAGAGCCGAAAGGGUGGGGAAGUGUUUGGCUAGCAUUCCUGAUGCCCUAGGUUAAUCCUCAGCAUUAACUGUGGGAGGAAGGGAGGGAAGGAAUAGAAGAGAGAGGAGGAGGGCAAAGAGAAGGAAGACUGAAGGGUGGAGGGGCGGCCAGCCCAGGAGCAACUGUCUCCAUAGCUACUUUAAUUGAAUGGGGAGUGUGUCAAGGGCUCAGCAUACACAGAAAAUGGAGCACGUGAUCAUGCCAUGGUUUGUGUGUGCCUGCUCUAUGGUGACACCUGGGUCCUUGAGUUGCUCACAGACUAGCUAGCAGUCCCUGAGUAUCUGAGUGACCCACACCAUGGGAGUUGUAAAGAACUCACUGAAAGAGCUCCUCACCCACUGUCAUCUUGCUUGAGUAGGCAUAGCCCAAGUGUCCUCUGGUGUUUCUGUGGGUUAUGGACUCUGGUCUCUGAGAGGCCACUUCCUUCUGGGAGCUGGCCUUCACCCAGAGUUGAUGUCACCUUUAUUUGGGGAUACAGAGCUAUGGGAGUGACGAUGUGACAUCCAAGUGUUUGUGACACAUUUUGUGGCCUAGCUGAAGAAGGUAUAGGACACAGAAUCGGGCACGAUUCUCACCACCGCAGAGGACAAUAAGUUGGAGAUAAAGCCCCUACUGUGUGCUGUGAUAAGGGUAGGGAAGGAAGAGUUUUCUUGGGUGUUCUCUGUGGUCAAGAGGUGUCCUGGCAUUGGUGAACCUCAUGGUGGAUCCUACAGGGCUGAGGAGGAAAGUGCCAGAGAAGAGUGAAGGCCAAGUGGGAAGACCUUGGCUUCGAAGGAAUGCAAAGGGACCAUUGCCUCUGGAGCAGAGAAUGAAAUGGAGAGAUGGACCUUUGUUGGGGGUCAAACUUUUUGGGGGACUGAGAUGCCUCUAGAAGGCUUUAAGGGUGAGAUUGUUUCAUAUUUAGUUCAUAAAAUUUACUUUUUUGUUUGUUUUUUUAGAGAUAGGAUCUUACUAUGUAGCUCUGGUUGUCCUGGAACUCACUGUGCAGAACCAGGCUGGCCUCAGAGAUCUGCCUGCUUCUGUCUCCGUAAGUGCUGAGAUUAAAGGUGGGUGCCACUUUUUACUUUUAAGUUAAAUUUAUUUUUAACUUCAGCAAACUCACCAUGUUGUCAUAAGCAACAUCUUUUCAUUCUUUGUUCUAAUUUUAGUAAUGUGGAAUUCUAAAACAUUUCUUGAGUCA